rnacentral:snRNA from 1 species
GUGCUCGCUCCGGCAACAUAUACACUAAAAAUUGGAAUGAUACAGAGAUGAGCAUAGCCCCUGAGUAAGGAUGACACACAAAUUUAUAAAGCAUUCCAUAUUUUA